rnacentral:tRNA from 1 species
GGCGGUGUAGCUCAGGGGCAGAGCAGGGGUCUCAUAAGCCCUUUGUCGGAGGUUCAAGUCCUCCCACCGCCACCA